rnacentral:tRNA from 1 species
GGCUCCAUAGUGUAGUGGUUAGCACGUCUGCUUUACAUGCAGAAGGUCCUGGGUUUGCGUCCCCGGGGGCACCA